AAAUUUGACGCGCAAGUACGCCCGGAAACAGAAAUAAGCGAACAGCAAACUGAAGGAGCAGUUAAUAUUGACAGGUGUAAGUAUUAUAUAUAUGAUGUACCACUGUCGAGAGUUUUGACGAUUGAGAUCGAGAUCGAAGAUGAUGAGGAGAAAAGAAACGAGGAGGAAAACUAAUUUCAGAAGAAGCAAUUGUUGGUGCGGGG
rnacentral:misc_RNA from 1 species